AGUGAACGCUGGCGGUAGGCCUAACACAUGCAAGUCGAACGGCAGCACAGUAAGAGCUUGCUCUUACGGGUGGCGAGUGGCGGACGGGUGAGGAAUACAUCGGAAUCUACUUUUUCGUGGGGGAUAACGUAGGGGAAACUUACGCUAAUACCGCAUACGACCUACGGGUGAAAGCAGGGGAUCUUCGGACCUUGCGCGAUUGAAUGAGCCGAUGUCGGAUUAGCUAGUUGGCGGGGUAAAGGCCCACCAAGGCGACGAUCCGUAGCUGGUCUGAGAGGAUGAUCAGCCACACUGGAACUGAGACACGGUCCAGACUCCUACGGGAGGCAGCAGUGGGGAACAUUGGACAAUGGGCGCAAGCCUGAUCCAGCCAUACCGCGUGGGUGAAGAAGGCCUUCGGGUUGUAAAGCCCUUUUGUUGGGAAAGAAAAGCAGCAGGUUAAUACCCCGCUGUUCUGACGGUACCCAAAGAAUAAGCACCGGCUAACUUCGUG
rnacentral:rRNA from 1 species